AUUGAACGCUGGCGGCAGGCCUAACACAUGCAAGUCGAACGAGUGGCGGACGGGUGAGUAAUGUCUGGGAAACUGCAUGAUGGAGAGGGUUAAAUACUGGAAACGGUAGCUAAUACCGCAUACCAUCAGAUGUGCCCAGAGGGUGUUAGCGUGUUGUUGGGGUAACGGCUCACCAAGGUGACGAUCCCUAGCUGGUCUGAGAGGAUGACCAGCCACACUGGAACUGAGACACGGUCCAGACGCCUGCGGUAGGCAGCAGUCGGGAAGAUUGCACAAUGGGCGAAAGCCUGAUGCAGCCAUGCCGCGGGUAUGAAGAAGGCCUUCGGGUUGUAAAGUACUUUCAGCGGGGAGGCGUUACCCGCAGAAGAAGCACCGGCUAACUCCGUGCCAGCAGCCGCGGUAAUUC
rnacentral:rRNA from 1 species